GUAGGAAACACAUGCUUUGAGCUUAUCGAACGAAUUGCUCAAUCAAAGGGGAAGUGCAUUUCUGUGGCUGAUUUGUAUGUUCUUCCAGCAUGGCGACACCCAACUGCAUGCAACCCAUUCUCAAGUUUACCUAAACCUUUCCCAGUCAACAAGUC